GGGGAGUUGUGUGUGUGUGUGUGCCAGAGAAACUGAAAAAGGGACAGUACACACCCUCACUCUGCCUCACGCAGCCGGACCCACCGGAGUGCAGGUGAGCACCAACAAUAACCGAACAGGAAGAAGCAUUCAAAGCUAUGGGAGUUUUAUCUGUGGCUGCUGAACUGUGAUCACGUUUAUCUGUAAAUGGGGCCAAGACCUCCCAUUCCUGAGGGCUACAGUAGUGAGUCGGAAAGAAAGACAAACACAGCAGUGGUGAGAGAUGAGAGGCAAGUCUGAUCAAGGUCAAGGUAUACGCAGACAUGGUUUAUCAUUACAGUCUCUU
rnacentral:lncRNA from 1 species